UUGGAGGGCAAGUCUGGUGCCAGCAGCCGCGGUAAUUCCAGCUCCAAUAGCGUAUAUUAAAGUUGUUGCAGUUAAAAAGCUCGUAGUUGAAUUUCGGGAUCAGUACGUUGGUCGUGCCUUAGGUACGUACUGGUGUUACUGGUUCCUACCCUCUGACGAACCAUCAUGUCAUUCAUUUGGUGUGGCGGGGAAUCAGGACUGUUACUUUGAAAAAAUUAGAGUGUUUAAAGCAGGCUCGCGCUUGAAUACAUUAGCAUGGAAUAAUGAAAUAGGACGUUGAUCCUAUUUUGUUGGUUUCUAGGAUUGACGUAAUGAUUAAUAGGGAUAGUUGGGGGCAUUAGUAUUCAAUUGUCAGAGGUGAAAUUCUUGGAUUUAUUGAAGACUAACUACAGCGAAAGCAUUUGCCAAGGAUGUUUUCAUUAAUCAAGAACGAAAGUUAGGGGAUCGAAGACGAUCAGAUACCGUCGUAGUCUUAACCAUAAACUAUGCCGACUAGGGAUCGGAUGAUGUUAUUUUUAAUGACUCAUUCGGCGCCUUACGGGAAAC
rnacentral:rRNA from 1 species